rnacentral:rRNA from 1 species
GACAGAGGGUGCAAACGUUGUUCGGAAUUACUGGGCGUAAAGGGCGCGUAGGCGGUCGUGACAAGUCACUUGUGAAAUCUCCGGGCUUAACUCGGAACGGUCAAGUGAUACUGUCGGACUAGAGUACAGAAGGGGCAACUGGAAUUCUCGGUGUAGCGGUGAAAUGCGUAGAUAUCGAGAGGAACACCUGCGGCGAAGGCGGGUUGCUGGGCUGAUACUGACGCUGAGGCGCGAAAGCCCAGGGGAGCGAACGGG